rnacentral:lncRNA from 1 species
ACACCACCAUGAUAAUGCAUCAAAACGAAAUUUACUACUAGCAAUUUGGACCUUACGACCAUCUAGUACAUGGAAGCAUGUGAAUUGUUCAGUUAAAGCUAGCUCCCAAUCUAUAUACGUUUCAGCAUCAUUUUCCCCCUCAAAGAAAAGUACACACAAUUUAAUUGUAUUAGAAGGAUUGUUUUGUACCGUUGCCGUGGCAUUAUCAACAAGAGACGUGGAGGAUGGCCGUGGUGAAAAGCACUCAUCGCGGUCACGGGAUAGCAUCGGUCUAGUUGCCAUGCUUCGUGUAAGUCCUGUCAUGGUUAGUAGAAAACAAGAAACAAAUCACAGUAAUAUGUUCCUAUCAACUACUAGGAUGUGGCUACAAGUCGCUCAACUCUCAAGCUAAAAAUCAAGUUCUUACAAGUUCUUACCAUGCAAAACAGGAAGGUGAUGGCCAGCGGCAUGACCAAGCCCUCCGAAUAUUAAAUGUAUCGAUGCCUCGGUAACAAACCAACCUAGGUGUAGAAUCUGUGGAGCUUGGAGGCUUUUGUGAGUAGCAAAGAAUAGCAAAUAAUCAAAUCAGCAAUGCAAAGUUGAAAAUAUGCUCAAUAAUGCUAGUGCUAGCUGCUGGAGUCGAUAAGAACGAAUUACAGAAAUAAUCUAAGCCUAGAUACUGAAGAAGAUAGGAUAGAAAGAUCAACAGAUGGCACAACAAGUAAAUCCCUGGGAUUUUUUUCUUCUUUUUUCUUUUUGUGGCCUUCUGUUUGGCUUCUUAUUCUUUUCUUCUUCUUUUUUUUUUCUUUUUUUUUAACACCAGAAACUCACCCAAAAGAAGGACCGGAAAACUGUACGUCGGUCUGUCGAAGAACAGCAAAGGCUGCAGUAAGAAAAAUUCAGAAAAAUAUGGAAAAAUAUGGGUUAGAAGCGUAUCGACACAAGCUUUCUAGCAAGGGCAAUAUCACUCAAAACGGAUGUCGGACGGUGGAGAAAACUGAGAAACACCGGGCUGCAGCGACGCCGGAAAACGGAUGCAGAAACUUGGAAGCUCCGAAAGUCCACCUUACAAACCGAAUUUGAGGGUCAAAGUGCAGGGCAGCGCCCUGAAUAUUUGCUGAUGCACCUCGUCGUGAGCUUUCCAAAAAGUCUAAGAACGUCCAAAUCCGAGUUGGUACGCGAAAGAUACGCCCGUUUUACUGAACACUGGUCAAACGCACCCGAAACUAAAAUUCUACUUGGACUCGGGUCCGAAACUGACUCGAACUCUUUCUCUUUUUUUUUCGUUUUUUUUCUUUCUUUCUUUCCUUUUUUUUCCUUUCCUUUCUUUUUUUUUUCAACUUUCCAAACAACUUGAUCUCUAAACAAAAUUCGAUCUAUGAUGAAACACUUUCCAAAAGCACUCCUUAUUGGACUCGGACUUGAACUUGCGGAUGAAAACUAUUAUUUGCCGACUCGAUGUAGAACUCGAAGAGGGACUCGAUGUGGAACUCGAAGAGGGACUCAGUGUAGGACUCGAUGAGGGACUCGGUGUAGGACUCGAAGAGGGACUCGGUGUAGGACUCGAAGAAGGACUCGGUGUAGGACUCGAAGAGGGACUCGGUGGAAGAUAUGGUGGCGGCGGGAGAUUAUGGCGGUGGUGUGGCAGGAAGUUUGGCGGCGGAAGAUUGAUGAAGGAAACCUGCGUCCCACGAAGAACAAGAAAACCAAAAGCAAGUUCGAUCUAGUAGAAAAAAUCUGAAAAACGAUCCAAUCUAAUCCAGCAACUCGACACGAUUAAUGCAGCAAAGAUUCAACAAUGCAAAUACUAAAGUGAAAAUUGCAAGGCUCAGAUUGGUUCUAGGACAAGGUAACUAAUUCUAAUUUUUGUUUGGCUUUUUCUGGACGAUAGGUAAAAACAGAUCUAAACUAGGGAUAAACUGGAAAAAUCUCACCGAGCAACCUUAAGCUCUGAUACCACGUGAUAGCCUCGAGGGUGGCCCGAUCUUUCGAUGAGAUUGAUAACUCUCGAUUUGGGUAGGAGGUGACGUUGACGAUCCGACUACGGCCUAGGAGGCAGCGCCUUAGCAAUCGAUACACCAACUCCAGAGGGUUAUUGAUCACGCGGGGGCACGAUCAACCUGACCACGAAGGUCUUUGUUCCUGCAAGCAAUCGAAGAACAAGUAAGAACAAGAUAAAUAGCAGAUGCAAUCUAAAAUUGCGAAUAUACUAUAUCAAACCAAUGUCUCAACGAGACGAUAAGUUGGAGUCUUGACGACGGUAAAACAGGUGGUCUAACCGACACAUGCGAUUACACGAAAGUAGCAAAGAUGGCUAAACUUUAUCUAAUCAAAACCCAAGGCUCCUUAGGGAGGCUCAUGGGGUAUAUAAAGGAGGAGGGAGAGAUAUUUUCGUCCACCUUGAGUAAGGAGGCCGAAAUCCAACUCUAUCUCUAACUUUCCUAACAAACUACAACUCUUUAGGAAACAGAAAAACAGAUCCGUCAACUUGUUUUGUCCGUCACGGUCAGCACGAGUCGAAUCUCUUGAUGGGGCCAGAUCCUCUGGAAAGGUCUUGUAAUUACCUUUCCAACAAGUACUUGUUUGCUUGAUUUGGACUCCGGAUGCGGCCUGAGUGAUUAAAACAAAUUCGGGUCUCCUGGCAGCUCGGACCCGAAUCGGAUUCAACUUUAAUUCGUGAUAUCUUUCUCUAGCAAGCUCCGAAUCAUGUGCCGUUUGAUUUGUUGGAAAGUACACUUGAAAUCCUUCCCUCUCAGCUGUAUGAAUGCUUGAUUCUUGUUGGCCCUCCCGUUCGCCUCCAUUGUAUCUCAUCUUGACCUUGGACUUGAAAAGCUCGACAAGAUGCCUACGUAAUAAAACGAGACAAGAUAGUAGUAGCUCCGCCUCUUCAUAAAUAUGACAAUGAAAACAAUUACUACUAGAAUUCACUUGAUUAUAAAUCUUGUCAAAUAUUAUAAAAUUGAGGGUACCAAAGGUCGUAUCCAUGGUUAGCAUGUCCAUAUCAACACCAAACAAAGCUACUCAUCGAAGCGAAACAAGACUAGACAACUUCUACGGAUUUGCUAGAAAUGGUCCCUCACUAGGACGGACAAUUCUGCCGGCAUGGUCCCUGACUAGGACGGACAGAUAAUUCGGCCAAAUUGGUGUCGGUGCUAAUCUUUGAUCCGGAACGUGUCCAUUUGAUAUCUAGGAUGAGCAUAGACAACUUCUACGGACUCGCUAGGCAUGGUCCCUCACUAGAAUAGACAAUCCGGCCAAAUCAGUGUCGGUGCUAAACUUUGAUCCGGAGCGUGUCCAUUUGAGGUACUAGGAUGAGCACACCAAACAAAGCUACUCCUCGAAGCGAAACAAGACUAGGCCACUUGUACGGACUCGCUAGGCAAGGUCCCUCAGAACGACAGAUAAUUCGGCCAAAUCCGAGUUGGUACGCGAAAGAUACGCCCGUUUUACUGAACACGGGUCAAACUGGGCGGCCACUUCGGACACCUCCUGGUCGUCGGCUGCUGGCACGGCCUGGCACGUGUGGUUCCGCCUUCCAAAGAGACGGAAGGGGGAGUCCUCGGGAAACUCAUGCCGAUAGUCCCGGCACACUUGCGCGAAGGCGCACUGCAUGGCGAACUGAAGGCCCUGCUCGAAGGUGGGGUAGCGGGCGAUGAAAGUGAUAUCAGGAGUCGCUGGCGCGAUCUCACGCCCGCGGAUCUUCGCCUCAAUCUCCCACCGUGGCUGCCAUCCUUCUGGCACGGCGGGCUCGACUCGGCCUCUGAAACUGGGAGGUGGCAGGUCGAGGAACGCACACAGUGCCGCCAAAGGGGCACUGAACAACUGCUCGUCGUCGGUGGAGGGGUAGUAGACUCGGGUAAACGGCGGUACGUUGCCAAAGGGUGGUGGUGGGCUUCCCAUCUAUAGAAAACAAGAAGGAAAGGUAGGGAAGUAUCAGUGACAUGAUCAAAAGGUCGGGUGUAAAUAGAAUAAAAUGAUAAAUGUAGAAGGGUGGAUGAAAUGACAAGAAUUAUAAUUAAAAGUGGAAUUGCAAAGACAAAAUUGGAUGCAUGAUGAUAUGUGCAUAACAUGACAACAUGAUUAUAGUGAUAGUUGGUAUAACAAAAUAAAUAUGCAUCUGCGGUAUAAUAAAAUAAACAUGCAUAUGUGGUAUAGCAUAGUAUUUGGUGUAUAUGUAAAAUAAAUCAACAAACCUGUCAUGCAUAUGUAAGAUAUAAAUGCAAUUAUUUAGAAGAAUAGGGAUAAGGAGUAAAAUAUAUAUAUAUAUCAGAUAGAGAUAAGAAUUUCUCCUAAGCUUUGGUCUCAUGAUUUAGUCUUAUCCUAAUCCAAGCUAGGGUCACGUUCCUAUAGGCAACACAUUGCUCUGAUACAAUCUGAAGCGACCGCCCCCAUCCAAGGGUUCGAUCUCUGUGCUUUAGUGCUAGUCCCUGGAUCAACUCACUAGCACACACAGUUUCAAGAUGUAAUAUCAUAGAACAAAGGUCUCAAUAUUACAACGUUUCAUCCAGAAUAUAAGAGGGUACUUACAACUCGCAUAACCUCACGGGUUAGCUGGAAAUAAAACAACUGUUUAGCAGCGGAAAACGGAAGAUACAAGGGCACAUCAACACCACGGUGAGAGCGUGUUGGAAUGUAGGCCCGUAACCCAAACAAGUAGAACGUACAUCUUACUCGUCGUCGGAGCUUCCUGCAUCAUUAAACGAUGCAGCCACUAGGGUCAAUACAUUGAAUGUAUUGGCAAGAUUCACUAGGAGUUAUAUCAAAACCUACCAAGUAUAUGCAGUAUUUGGCAAGGUGGAGUUCAGGCUGUUUGCGUGGAAGCAGAACAUAAAUUACCCUACUACAAAGGAAUGUUAUAAUAAUGUUAACUAAUGGACACGGGGUAGACACACCCAUACUCUUAUUAACCUAGAGUACAUUGAAGUGGAUUCUUCAAGUGCUCCUACCCUGUUCAAACCAUUCAUUUUAUUUAAGAAAUUGGAAUGAGUGAGACUUUCCUUACAGCUCCACAUCUAGUUGCUCAAAUUGUCCGUUGCCGGGGACAUGGCUAAGUACUUAGUUUUGACGCUCUCGAGAGUUUGUACACAUUCCCCACAAGAAACCGACGUGUUAAUCCCUUGCUGUCCUCAGGGUAGAGUAGCAACGGCAUCGAUUAUGAGAUUUUCAGAGGUAAUUCCCUAAACCACGAGAGAAUCACGCUCCCCCUACACGGCUACCUCAGUACAAUUCUUCGGGUCUAGGUUCAUACAACUUACUCUUGUCUCGCCAGAGCCCAUAUAGCAUUGUGGUUGUACUAGAAGCUUCUAAAUAGGAAACUAGUCCAGUCUCGGUUAUCCCAGGUGGCAUUCCACAUUUGCGACGUAGGCGCUCCCCGAAUCCACGGGAGAGACGUCCAUGGACGAUCCAUUCCUGAAUCCACAGGAACUCGACUCAGAGGGACCCAUAGAAAUGGACCUGACGCCGCUAAUCCUCAAAAUCCUCAAAGCAGCCCACCCAGGAUGGUUCAUUGAAUUAGUUGUUUUGCCUUACAUCUAACAAAACAUUUCAUAUAGCCAAAGGCAUAACAAUAUCAUAAUGUAGUUAUUUCCCCCACGAUACUACCAUAGCUUAGCAUUCAAACUACAAUCGAUGGCAAUUUGGUAGCAAGGUAAUGGCAAGGGUAAACUAUACUACCUGGGAUUUAUAGCUAGCAUAGAGGUACGAGUAAUAGUCCUAUCAAUGCAUCUCUACCAACAACACUAAUGCAUAAGUAUUUUAAAACAACAACAAUAAUGGGAUAUGAUCAAAGUGAACUUGCCUUGUCCAAGGUUGUGGUAGUUCUCGCACUCUUCGCAACCACAAGAAAUACACUCCACACAAUCUAAAAUAAAAGAAACACACACAAUAAACACAACAUUCAAUACAAAAACCAUGCCAUGAUGCAUAUGCCAAGAUGAUGCACACAAAGGUUACUUCUAACGUACAAAGUUUCGUUUCUGUUUUGAAAAGGCUCUCAAAAGAUUUGGACAGAUUAUACAACAUCAAAGUGGUAAUUAAUAUGCAUGAUACAUGAAUAGGGUUUAAAACAAAAGAUUGUGCGGCUGUUGCAACAUAGAGCAUUAUUUAACUUGUAUGCCAUGAUUAUACACAAAAUAAUUUCUUCUCUGGUCCUAAUGGAUAGAGAACAACUUUAAAUAAUUUUACAGCAAGAUAACAUGCUCAAAACUAUUUUGAAACAAUUCAUUUGAAAUUUAAACUCUAUUCAACCAAUCUGUAAAUUGCUUCUGACUAAUUUGUUCAAAACUGAAAUUAAACAGUGCCAAAAUAUUCUAAACGUUGUGAUGAUUCCAGAAAGGUGUGGAUCGUAAAUUUUGGACAAACGGUUUAAAAGAUAUGGGGUUUUGAAGUUGUAGGGGCUUUUCUGCAAAAUUGCAUUAUCCAAUUCGGCCGAAUUAAAAUAAAAAGAAAAACCUGCCACGUGGCAUGGCGGGACUGGCCGGUUUCUAGGGUUCCGGCCGGCGGCUAGCUCGCCGGCGGCGGCGCGGGGCGGCGGGGCGCGGGCAGAGGCGGCGCAGGCGAGCGGCAGGGGCGGCGCGCGCACGGCGGCGGCGCGGGGCAGCGGGUCGCGCGGGCAACGCGGGCGGCGCGGAGGCGGUGCGGGGCGCAGGACGCGACGGGCGGCGCGCGGGCGGAGCGGGGGGCGCAGGCGGCGGUGCGGGCAUGGACAGCGCGCGGAGGACGGCGGGCGGCGCGGCGCACGGGCGCGGCACGCGGGGCGGCGCGGGGGUGCGGCCAGGCGGAGCGGGAGGCGGAGGCGGCGCGCGGACGGCGGAGCACGGGCGGCGGCCGGCGCCGAGGAAGACGGCGGACGGAGGCGCAGAGCUCCAAAUCGCGGCCGGCUCGCGUCACAGCGUGCGCAAGGAAGAGAGGAGGAAGACUAGGGCGACGAAAACGCGAAGAAUGGCGGUGGCAGCAACGAACUCCGGCGAGCAAUUACUUUCUAACCGGUGUGAAAUUGGACGUGGGGUUUGGGGGAAGUGGAGGAGAUAAGCGAGGGCUUCGGGAUGACGCGCAAGGAUUUGGAGAAAACGGCCCGAGCGCGGAGAAAUCGGAGGUGGAGUCGUGGGCAGUUCGCGGGCGUGCGUGGCUGGAUUUUUCGGACGGAGGUUGAAGAUGGCGCGUGGGUCCCACAGGUCAGUGAGAGCGGGCGGCUCGGGCGGGGCGGAGCAGGUCCGGUUCGGUCCGGUCCGGUCCGGUCCGGUUUGACCGGUUCGGCCGGUUUUCCCCGGUUUUCCUUUUCUUUUAUUUAUUUUCUGUUUUUGAACCUCAAAAUUGAUUCGGAGCUCCAAAUCACUCCAAAUAAAAUGCAACAAAAUUUGUAAAAUCAUAUUUUCAUAUGAUCUAACUUUUGGAGCAAGAAUUUUCUCAAAAUAAAAUAUUUCAAAAUACAUUUGCCUAUAAAAUGGCUUUUAGGCCCCUUAGGCUAUCGAAACAAAUUAUCUUUCAAAAUACUUUCAAAAGCCAAUCUAUGGUAUAGCUUUAUAUAUGCAUUAAAUCCCUUUUUACCACAAUACCCUCAUGGGUUAAAAAUGCAAAUACUCAAGAGCAAGAUCAAAGCCCAAAGUCAAAUAAAGGCAUUUUUGCAAAAGGGUUUUCUGGGCAAACUUUAGGGUUUUGAAAGUGAUCAAAUGCAAGGGUGACAUGAUGCUUAUGAUAUGCAAUGCAUAUGAAGAAUUUUGAAAAUUGGGAUGUUACACAACAAUGCAAAUACUAAAGUGAAAAUUGCAAGGCUCAGAUUGGUUCUAGGACAAGGUAACUAAUUCUAAUUUUUAUUUGGCUUCUUCUGGACGAUAGGUAAAAACAGAUGUAAACUACGGAUACACUGGAAAAAUCUCACCGAGCAACCUUAAGCUCUGAUACCACGUGAUACGGGUGCGGGUGGCCCGAUCUUUCGAUGAGAUUGGUAACUCUCGAUUUGGGUAGGAGGUGACGUUGACGAUCUGACUACGGCCUAGGAGGCAGCGCCUUAGCAAUCGAUACACCAACUCCAGAGGGUUAUUGAUCACGCGGGGGCACGAUCAACCUGACCAUGAAGGUCUUUGUUCCUGCAAGCAAUCGAAGAACAAGCAAGAACAAGAUAAAUAGCGGAUGCAAUCUAAAAUUGCGAAUAUACUAUAUCAAACCA